rnacentral:rRNA from 2 species
UGAGGAAUAUUGGUCAAUGGACGGAAGUCUGAACCAGCCAUGCCGCGUGGAGGAAGAAGGUCCUAUGGGUUGUAAACUCCUUUUGUUCGAGAGUAAUAAGAGGCUUGCGAGCCUCGAUGAGAGUAUCGGACGAAUAAGCAUCGGCUAACUCCGUGCCAGCAGCCGCGGUAAUACGGAGGAUGCAAGCGUUAUCCGGAUUUAUUGGGUUUAAAGGGUGCGCAGGCGGCGCGUUAAGUCAGCGGUGAAAUGUCCGGGCUCAACCUGGGCAGUGCCGUUGAUACUGGCGUGCUAGAGUACAGACGGCGCCGGCGGAAUGUGUCAUGUAGCGGUGAAAUGCUUAGAUAUGCCACAGAACACCGAUCGCGAAGGCAGCUGGCGAGGCUGGUACUGACGCUCAGGCACGAAAGCGUGGGGAUCAAACAGG